rnacentral:rRNA from 1 species
AUACGUAGGGGGCGAGCGUUGUCCGGAAUGAUUGGGCGUAAAGGGCGCGUAGGCGGCCUGGUAAGUCUGGAGUGAAAGUCCUGCUUUUAAGGUGGGAAUUGCUUUGGAUACUGCUGGGCUUGAGUGCAGGAGAGGAAAGCGGAAUUACCGGUGUAGCGGUAGAAAUGCGUAGAGAUCGGUAGGAACACCAGUGGCGAAGGCGGUCUUUCUGGACUAGAAACUGACGCUGAGGCGACG